UAUAUAUAAAUUUUUAUUUAUUUUAAUAAAAUUUAAAAAAUUUAAUAAAAAUAAUUUAUAUUUAAAUUAUUUAUAUUUAUAAAUGUAAUAAAAAGUAAAUUAAUUAUUGAUUAUAAAUAAAUUUUAGUGCCAGCAAUUGCGGUUAAACUAAAUAUAAAAUAAUUAUUUAUUUAAUUUAAUAAAUAUUUAUGAAAUUAAAUUUAUAAAAUUAAAAAAAAAUAUUAAUUUUUAGUGAAAUAUAAAUAAUAUAAUUUUUAAUAUAUAAAUUUAUUAAAUAAUUAUAUUAAAUUUGAUAGAAAAAUAGGAUUAGAUACCCUAGUAUUUAAAAAAAAAUAAAUAAAUUUAAGUAUUAAAUGAAAUCAUUAAAUUUAAAUAAUUUGGCAGUAUUUUUUUUAUUAGAGGAACUUGUUUUUUAAUUGAUAUUCCACGUUUAGAUUAACUUAAUUAAAAUAUUUUAUGUAUUGUUGUUUGAAAUUUAUCAUUAGAGUGAGUUAUCUAAGAUUUAUAAUUAUAGAGUAAUUCAAAUCAAAAUGUAGAAUAAUUAAGAUAAAAUGAGUUACAUUUAUUUUAUAAUAAUGGAAUUUAAUGUUUGAUAAAUAAAUAAAAUUGGAUUUAAUAGUAAAAAUUAAUUAUAUAAUUAAAUUGAAUUGUAUAAAAAAUAGGUACAAAUUGCCCGUCAUUUUCAUUUUAAAAUGAAAAAAGUCGUAACAUAGUAAAUGUACUGGAAAGUGUAUUUAGUUUA
rnacentral:ncRNA from 1 species